UACGUAGGGCGCAAGCGUUGUCCGGAAUUAUUGGGCGUAAAGAGCGUGUAGGCGGCCAGGUAGGUCUGCUGUGAAAACUCGAGGCUUAACCUCGAGCUGUCGGCGGAAACCAUCUGGCUAGAGUCCGGAAGAGGAGAAUGGAAUUCCCGGUGCAGCGGUGAAAUGCGCAGAUAUCGGGAAGAACACCCGUGGCGAAGGCGGUUCUCUGGGACGGUACUGACGCUGAGACGCGAAGGCGUGGGGAGCGAACAGG
rnacentral:rRNA from 1 species